rnacentral:rRNA from 1 species
UACGUAGGGGGCAAGCGUUGUCCGGAUUCAUUGGGCGUAAAGAGCUCGUAGGCGGCUUGGCAAGUCGGGUGUGAAAACUUCAGGCUCAACCUGGAGCGGCCACUCGAUACUGCCAUGGCUAGAGUCCGGUAGGGGACCACGGAAUUCCUGGUGUAGCGGUGAAAUGCGCAGAUAUCAGGAGGAACACCGGUGGCGAAGGCGGUGGUCUGGGCCGGAACUGACGCUGAGGAGCGAAAGCGUGGUGAGCGAACAGG